AUUCCCUGCUCACCUCUUUCACCUAGUAGCAUCCAGAGCUAAGCUGGUUGUAUUGAUGGCAGAGGAGCUGGGUGCUGCCCUGGGGGCCACCUUUGAUUCAUCGCUGCCCAUUUGACACCCCUGGUUGUGUGGGAAGGAUGCAGCCACUGGCCUUAUCCCAGCAGGAGGCUGGGAACAUACUGCACUUGCCAGGUCUCCAUAACACUCCUGUUCCUGCCACUUUCCUUCUCUUCUGGGAAUGGAAAACAAAACUCACUGGGAGUUCAGGGACUUUUUUUCCAAGACUUGCCAGGGCCUGUGACUCAGGUGGCUGCUUCUGCCCUAUUGCUGUACCCACAGUGGCUCCCAGCCUUGAUGCUGCUGGGAAGUGGGGUGUGGGGGCUGGCCCCUGGUUUUGUAACCAGUGGGUUGUUGAAACCAUAUCUGCGGUCAAGGGUCUGGCUCUGGGGUGGGAGACUGCUGUGGGACACAGGAGAUGGCUUCUUGCAGCCAAGAACGAGAACCCUGGGGGUUUCUGUCUGCUAAGCUGUUGUCCUCCCCCGGCUGGACACCCAGGGACCGACACCCAGGCUCUCCCAGCCACUGUCGUACUCAGUCUCCUGGGGGCUUCACCCACCUUCCUCCUGUGCAGACCCUGCCUUGUCCCUGAUCCCAAAGCAUCGGGGAGCAAACCGGCAUGUUCAGAAUCCUGCGAUACUCAGCCAUGUGCUGGACACUGGGGGGCCCAGCUGGGCCCUACAUCCCUGUGGACCCCAUGGAUGUUCCCCCAGGGGUGGGGAAUGCCGAUCAUGGGAUGUGUAUCCCCGCGACACAGAGCACAGGGGGCACGGAGUGCUGGGGUCACAAGGCAUGUUCACGGGGCUCGGGGACACGGCGGCGCAGGACCCAGCGGCACACCCCAGCGUCCAGGAGCGGGGCUCGGUGCGGUGGCGUCCCGCCACGUCGCCGGGCGGGGCCGGGGGCGGCUCCGGUGAGUCACGGCUGCCUCGCCCCUCCCCGCGCCGCCUCAUAAAGCAGCCGCGGAGUCCGCAUGUACCGGAGCGGGGCGCGGACAGCCUGGGGGACACCAGCCACGACCUGAGUGACCCCGGGAGGAGGAUGCUGGGGGAGCCCCUGGGAAGCCCUGCCUGGAUCCUGCUGCUCUGCUGGGGCCUGGCUGCUUGCUGCACAGGUGCCAUGGCCUUGCAGCCGCCCAGCAUCACCACCCUGCGGAUGCCAGCAGAGCUUCCUCGGCCAGGCGAGAGUGUGACUGUGUCAUGUGAAGCAUUGAGUGAGCUGCCAGAGCUGACACUGCUCUACUGGCUGGAGAACGGCUUCUUCGUGGAGAGCCUGCACCCGGACGGGGCUGUGCGUGAGGGGACAGUGCAAACUUUCGUCACUUCUCCUGUUAUUGGAUGCCAGUUUCCAUUUCUUCAAACUUUAGUAAUUCACUGAAAAUAUUCUCCUCCCUUGAAAUUUUGUAUUGGUUUAUACAUUGUAUUACCUGCCUUGUUUUUCACUCCCAAUUUUCCUGAUUAGUUAAAGAUUGUACCCUUCCCUGAGACCUGCCCCCACAUAUAAGUCACUGUCUGCUCUCAGUUUGGGGUCCCAGGAGGAAGAAGAGGGGAAGUUUUACCAUCAAAUGAAGUUACCCCAGGACACGUGUGCUGCUCUGUGUUUUAUGCUGCACCAACACUGGCACUGGGAGGGGGAUUGCUGUCCCCCUGUCACCAGCUAGCCGAGGCUGAGUGGCACUGGAAGACAUGUUGCAGGAGGAAAACCAUGGCAAGUGUUGAGAGUUGGUGGGUAAGAAUUGUGGGGAAUGCCAACAGGGCAGAUAUCCAGGUGGGAGCUGGGUAGAAAUCACUCAACCAAGGACCAAGAGGCAAACAAGAAGUCUCAUGAUGGCCAGCCCUUGUCUUCAUGGGGGCUUCAACGCACUAGACGUCUGCUGAAAAUACAAUCCAGACAGAGGAGAGAGUUCAGGAGGUUCCUGGAUGUUACUGUACAAGCUCAUUUGUACUGGGCAAUUAAUUCAGCUAUAAAUAAGAUCCCCAGCUGGCUCCAUAAAACCAGCCCUUGAGCUGAGUGACAGGAACCUCAACAAAUUACAUUCCAUCCUAAGCUGCAGACAUCUCACUGGUCGGUGAGCUGGGCAGUGUGAAAGAUCAGACCGAUGAGUUUUCCAAACCGGGUUUUUCAAAUCGCCUUUAUAAAGAAGAGUUUGAAGAAUAAACUUGCUCUUUUGCCACAUGGACUUCAGGGUGUGUGUUGUUCCUGUCUCCAACCACCGACCCUGCAAAACACACGGAUUUAUUAAAUGUAAUGUGUGGUGAUCUCACUGACAUGAUUGGACUGAGCCAGAUCCCGUGGGCACGGCCAAACCCAUCUGCUGGCAUCCAGAGAAAGAAUGUGAAUACCCAGGUCAGCGUGUGUCUGCCUUCCAGACAGUGUGCACUGUGCACACCUCCAAGCUGGAACAGCUCCAGUUCCAUGUCACAGCCUUCCCUGCUGUAACACUUGCCUCUGCUGUGGACAGAAGCUCUACAUAGGAUGGACGGGCGUGAGGAUUUUACAGAUGAAUUGCUUCUCCUGGAGUCUGUGUGCACCUGAAAAAUCCUGUACAGUAAACAUUUCAAGGGUCAGCGUGUUCUUCAAGUUCAGUGCUUCAGUGCUCAAGUUCAGUGCUUGCCUACUUUAUCUUGCAUUUUUAUCUUGCUGGGAAGGAAUUUGUGCCACUACACUCGAGCACUCCACCACUACAACCUAAUGCCAGUAGCCCAGGCUUCAGCUGCACAAGCAGACACAAAUAUCAUUUUCAAGCUGUUGACAACAAGAAUGAAUCAUGCUGCAGCCUGAAAGGCUGUAGAACUUCAGCUUUGAUCAUGAACUUACUGCUUCAAUUUAUUUAUGGACUAACUAAAUAAGUACAGUAUUUUGUUUAAGCAAAGAGACAGGAAAACAAAA